GUGACUCUUAUCUGUUUUUUACAUCACGGUAUAUCAGGACAAAACGACUAUUUUACACAUCAUACUUCUAACAUUUUUUACUCCUUCCAUUUCAGUGUUCUGACAGGGACCUUGUGGGGGAUGGUGCGAUUCAGGGAGAUUGAUUGUGGCCGAUGUUUGCAGGAAGAACAAAUCACACGCGGAAAUUUUAGAUUCAUCUAAUGGUCCUAAUAUAAAUGCACUCUUGAUAUCUUAAUGGAUCUUCAUUUCGAUUCUUCACUUCACAUCCAAAGAUAUCUCAGAUCUUUGCAACAUUAUCAAGAACAAUCAUCACUCAUCAUCCCUCCGGUUUUUCUAUCAGCACCGCAAUGAUAGGUGCAUAAUUGGAAGCAACAAAACCCUUCUUCAGCCCUCAACUGGUGCAGCAUGUCAGCAUGCAAGACCUAGGUAUAUCACUUUCUUUAAGAACAAACACUGAGAAGAUAUGAACAGAUGGUACCUUUGUUAUGCACUCAUCCCCAGGAUGUUUCCUCUUCCUUCCCAUCACUGCUAAGCAUGUGAUACAUCACGGCCAAACAUGUAUAUAGAAGCCAUGAAAGUUCAAAGAUGUAUAAUGGAAGUAGCAUUCUUAUUAGCUUUCGUUGUAAUGUUUGCAUUCGAAUAGAAGUCUUAUAUAGCCAUUGGUUUACGC